CCCGACCAACGCGGGAGUCCGGGAGAAAGUCCGGGCUGAGAGGGCGCCAGCACCGUGGUGCCGACCGUUACACCUGAUCCGGAUCAUGCCGGCGAUAGGGAGGAUAACCGUGAGCAUCA
rnacentral:ncRNA from 1 species